GCUGGGUGUGGUGGCGGGCACCUGUAAUCCCAGCUACUUAGGAGGCUGAAGCAGGAGAAUUGCUUGAACUCGGGAGGCGGAGGUUGCAGUGAGCUGAGAUCGUGCCACUGCACUCCAGCCUGGGUGACAGAGCAAGACUCUGUCUCAA
rfam:Macaca mulatta chromosome 11, whole genome shotgun sequence.